CUCCUGCUAUUAUGGCAGCCGGUCCUGAGGGACACAUGGGAUCCCAGUCCCACUGCAGGGCUCUUGUCCAGACUUGUCUUCUAAGGAAUAGCCCCUAUUAAAGACCAACAAUCACUGUUUCAGGUAAUUGAAUUAAAACAUGAUAUAGAUCACCAUCAACUGAUAAAUAUGUGCCAGGAAUUGGAAUACAAAUUGGUGCAGAUCUGGAGUUUACCUGCCCUGCAGUUGCUUCACCAGAUCAAUAUCUCAAAUGAAACCAUUGUUUUCACCAGGAUUAACAGUUCACUGUUCCUUGGCCUGCAUUCUGGAGCUGUAAAUGUCUUUGAUGUUCAUGUUGAAGAAGGCCCAGUGGAUCUGUUGGAGAAAAAGCCAGAGGGAAAUGAAGAACCAGAUAUCACUCAUGAUUCUGAAAAUGCUCACAAGGGCCCUGUGGUAGCAGUGGAUGCCUGCAAGACUCUCUCUCUCUUUCUAAGCUGUGGUGCGGACUACAUGGUGAAACUCUGGGAUAUUCACAAGAAUUUGCUAGCCAACAUUUUUCUUGAUAACACUCUCAGCUCUGCUUGUUUCCUAAAUGGUUCUGGAGAUAUUUUAGUGGCUUUCAAAAAUGAUCUUUACAUCUUGCCUCACAGUAAGGCACUGGGUAUCUCAGCGACAGAUACAGAUGUCUCUGGAAUCUCAGCAACAGAGUCCUUCAUUUAUGAAAACCAAGCUUUAAAUUAUCAAAAGGAAGGAAAAACUGAUGUCUCCAACAUCACUGGCAUGGACUCUUAUCUGGUGCCUUACAUGGGAUUUAAUUUCACCAGUAACUUCACAACAGAAUUGCUGGACCGAGAAAAGUCUCUGAAAGAAUGAUCCUGACUGAUGAUAUGAAAUACUUGCCUGGCCCCAGACCUGCAGGGGCUGUGGCUUUGGAAAUACCUGAGUUUGGAAUCUCCCCAUGUUCUUCUCCACCCAGUGUAUUUUCAGAGGCCCAGCCUGAGGAAGAG
rnacentral:lncRNA from 1 species